AGCUGCUGGCGCAGUGGUUAAAGCAAUCAACUGCUAACUGAAGGGUUGGUGGUUCGAAACCACCAGCAGCUC
rfam:Loxodonta africana unplaced genomic scaffold scaffold_1, whole genome shotgun sequence.